UUGCCUACGGGAGGCAGCAGUGGGGAAUAUUGGGCAAUGGGCGCAAGCUUGACCCAGCAACGCCGCGUGAAGGAAGAAGGCUUUCGGGUUGUAAACUUCUUUUGACAGGGAAGAGUAGAAGACGGUACCUGUCGAAUAAGCCACGGCUAACUACGUGCCAGCAGCCGCGGUAAUACGUAGGUGGCAAGCGUUGUCCGGAUUUACUGGGUGUAAAGGGCGUGCAGCCGGGAAGACAAGUCAGAUGUGAAAUCCCGCGGCUCAACCGCGGAACUGCAUUUGAAACUGUUUUUCUUGAGUACCGGAGA
rnacentral:rRNA from 1 species